CGGGCAGUAUCUAAAAUAGAACUGCACUUGUCUCGUAGCUAGCCGCUGGCACAAUCAAAUAAGCGAAAGUUCUGCCUUGAUCCGUAAGGACAGGGACAGAGGG
rfam:Bacillus sp. FJAT-27231 Scaffold1, whole genome shotgun sequence.